rnacentral:rRNA from 1 species
UGGGGAAUAUUGCGCAAUGGACGAAAGUCUGACGCAGCAACGCCGCGUGAGGGAUGACGGCCUUCGGGUUGUAAACCUCUUUCAGCAGGGACGAAGCGAGAGUGACGGUACCUGCAGAAGAAGGACCGGCCAACUACGUGCCAGCAGCUGCGGUAAUACGUAGGGUCCGAGCGUUGUCCGGAAUUAUUGGGCGUAAAGGGCUCGUAGGCGGUUCGUCACGUCGGGAGUGAAAACUCGGAGCUUAACUCCGAGCCUGCUUCCGAUACGGGCAGACUAGAGGUAGGCAGGGGAGAGCGGAACUCCUGGUGUAGCGGUGGAAUGCGCAGAUAUCAGGAAGAACACCGGUGGCGAAGGCGGCUCUCUGGGCCUUACCUGACGCUGAGGAGCGAAAGCGUGGGUAGCGAACAGG